AGCAAUACAAGGCAGACGGCUCAGUAACGCGUAGUCAACCUAACCUAUGGACGGGAAUAACCUCGGGAAACUGAGAAUAAUGCCCGAUAGAACAUUAUGCCUGGAACGGCUUUUGUUUCAAAUGAUUUAUCGCCGUAGGAUGGGACUGCGGCCUAUCAGUUUGUUGGUGAGGUAAUGGCCCACCAAGACUAUUACAGGUACGGGCUCUGAGAGGAGUAGCCCGGAGAUGGGUACUGAGACACGGACCCAGGCCCUAUGGGGCGCAGCAGGCGAGAAAACUUUGCAAUGUGCGAAAGCACGACAAGGUUAAUCCGAGUGGUUUCUGCUAAAGGAACCUUUUGACAGUCCUAGAAACACUGUUGAAUAAGGGGUGGGCAAGUUCUGGUGUCAGCCGCCGCGGUAAAACCAGCACCUCAAGUUGUCAGGAUGAUUAUUGGGCCUAAAGCAUCCGUAGCCGGCUCUGUAAGUUUUCGGUUAAAUCUGUACGCUCAACGUACAGGCUGCCGGAAAUACUGCAGAGCUAGGGAGUGGGAGAAGUAGACGGUACUCGGGAGGAAGUGGUAAAAUGCUUUGAUCUCCCGAUGACCACCUGUGGCGAAGGCGGUCUACUAGAACACGUCCGACGGUGAGGGA
rnacentral:rRNA from 1 species